rnacentral:ncRNA from 1 species
CUUGUGGAGAGUAUACAACGAUGUGAGUAGUAUUUAAGUAAACUUAAAUACGAAAGCAUACUCGAUGAAACAAGAA